GAUGAACGCUGGCGGCGUGCUUAACACAUGCAAGUCGAACGAAGCACUUUAUUUGAUUUCCUUCGGGACUGAUUAUUUUGUGACUGAGUGGCGGACGGGUGAGUAACGCGUGGGUAACCUGCCUUGUACAGGGGGAUAACAGUUGGAAACGGCUGCUAAUACCGCAUAAGCGCACAGCAUCGCAUGAUGCAGUGUGAAAAACUCCGGUGGUAUAAGAUGGACCCGCGUUGGAUUAGCUAGUUGGUGAGGUAACGGCCCACCAAGGCGACGAUCCAUAGCCGACCUGAGAGGGUGACCGGCCACAUUGGGACUGAGACACGGCCCAAACUCCUACGGGAGGCAGCAGUGGGGAAUAUUGCACAAUGGGCGAAAGCCUGAUGCAGCGACGCCGCGUGAGCGAAGAAGUAUUUCGGUAUGUAAAGCUCUAUCAGCAGGGAAGAUAAUGACGGCACCUGACGAAGAAGCACCGGCUAAAUACGUG
rnacentral:rRNA from 1 species